rnacentral:lncRNA from 1 species
CCUUUGGGACUUGAAACACAUUUUUUCUCAAAAGGUGUUACAAAGAGUUGUUCAGUAUUCUCUGAUCAGGUCCAGGAAGACCCUAAAGUCAGAGGUACAGCAGAACCAGAGGGCACACACCCGAGCCCUGCAGCCAGGGACAGGUACAGAACAGGCCAUGGGUGAGCACUUUGUUCUACCACACAUUCCCACCAUGAUAUGCUGCUUUAUCAUAGGCCCAAACGAAGCAAGACAAUCAAGCAUGGACUGAAAAUUCUAAGACUCUUCCAGCUUCUUGGCAAGAGCAACUACUGGGUCUUCCUGCUCUCCAGCCUGCAGCCAGCCAUCAUGGCCUCUCCUGCCCUGAUCCUAUUAAAAAAUAGAGAAUACAGGUUGCCUACAUGAAGAAAGAAAGAGAGACUUCCAGAAACACGGCAGCAACAAAUCUCCCUCUCUAAGAUUUGGAAUCCAGACACUGAAAAUAACAGCUUGGGGAAUAAAAGAAGGAAGAAGGUGGAUCCCUGGUACCCAGGAAGGACCUGAAGGGAAAAUUGAAACCUGCAGAACCACUGAAGAGACAGACCACAACACAGAAAAAGAAAAGCGCAAUCUGCCCUUUCUCCUCUCUUCUCUCUCAUGGUGGGAGAAAGGAAGAUCAGCUCUACAAAGACACAGUGAAAGUGGUGACUCCAAAGGUCUUCAGGGAGAAACACACCAGUGGGUAGAGCAGUGGAUGCUGUUUGCUAAAAAGGCGGUGAGUGACCCCAGUCCAAGCAACUGCUGAAUGCCCUCAAGAGAGUGCUUGGUCAGAUGCCGUUCUGGAGAGGGGCCAACUGAACCUGGGACUCAGAGUAGCCAUGGGUUGGCUUCAUCCCAGGGCUCCCAAGUUAAACUCCCACAGUGACUGGGUGAGGGACAACCAUGGGAGACAUUCAUGGUCAGGGAGCCAUGGUCAGGCUGGUAAGACACCCAGAGUGUUAUAAGCUAAGUGACUCAAGCCCUAACCCCAUGACCAGAGGCCAG